UUGAACAUGAGAGUUUGAUCCUGGCUCAGAACGAACGCUGGCGGCAGGCCUAACACAUGCAAGUCGUACGAGAAGGUUCCUUCGGGAACUGGAGAGUGGCGCACGGGUGAGUAACGCGUGGGGACCUACCUCUUAGUGGGGGAUAAC
rnacentral:rRNA from 1 species